rnacentral:rRNA from 1 species
AAUGAACGCUGGCGGCAGGCCUAACACAUGCAAGUCGAACGGAUCCUUCGGGAUUAGUGGCGGACGGGUGAGUAACGCGUGGGAACAUACCCUUUGGUACGGAAUAGCCUCGGGAAACUGGGAGUAAUACCGUAUGUGGUCGAGAGACGAAAGAUUUAUCGCCAAAGGAUUGGCCCGCGUUGGAUUAGGUAGUUGGUGGGGUAAUGGCCUACCAAGCCGACGAUCCAUAGCUGGUUUGGGAGGAUGAUCAACCACACUGGGACUGAGACACGGCCCCGACUCCUACGGGAGGCAGCAGUGGGGAAUCUUAUACAAUGGGGGAAGCCCUGAUCUAGCCCUGCCGCGUGAUCGAUGAAGGCCUUAGGGUUGUAAAGAUCUUUCAGGUGGGAAGAUAAUGACUGUACCACCAGAAGAAGCCCCGGCUAACUCCGUGCCAGCAGCCGCGGUAA